CCUGCGGUGGCAGCAGUGGGGAAUAUUGGACAAUGGGCGAAAGCCUGAUCCAGCCAUGCCGCGUGUGUGAAGAAGGCCUUCGGGUUGUAAAGCACUUUCAGUGGGGAAGAAAGCCUUGGGGCUAAUACCCUCGAGGAAGGACAUCACCCACAGAAGAAGCACCGGCUAACUCCGUGCCAGCAGCCGCGGUAAUACGGAGGGUGCGAGCGUUAAUCGGAAUUACUGGGCGUAAAGCGCGCGUAGGCGGUCUGAUAAGCCGGUUGUGAAAGCCCCGGGCUCAACCUGGGAACGGCAUCCGGAACUGUCAGGCUAGAGUGCAGGAGAGGAAGGUAGAAUUCCCGGUGUAGCGGUGAAAUGCGUAGAGAUCGGGAGGAAUACCAGUGGCGAAGGCGGCCUUCUGGACUGACACUGACGCUGAGGUGCGAAAGCGUGGGUAGCAAACAGGAUUAGAUACCCUAGUAGUC
rnacentral:rRNA from 1 species